rnacentral:rRNA from 1 species
CACAUGCAAGUCGAGCGCCCCGCAAGGGGAGCGGCAGACGGGUGAGUAACGCGUGGGAACGUACCCCCCGGUUCGGAAUAACUCAGGGAAACUUGAGCUAAUACCGGAUACGGCUGAGAGGCGAAAGAUUUAUCGCCGGGGGAUCGGCCCGCGUCCGAUUAGCUAGUUGGUGUGGUAACGGCGCACCAAGGCGACGAUCGGUAGCUGGUCUGAGAGGAUGAUCAGCCACAUUGGGACUGAGACACGGCCCAAACUCCUACGGGAGGCAGCAGUGGGGAAUAUUGGACAAUGGGCGAAAGCCUGAUCCAGCCAUGCCGCGUGAGUGAUGAAGGCCUUAGGGUUGUAAAGCUCUUUCGCCCACGACGAUAAUGACGGUAGUGGGAGAAGAAGCCCCGGCUAACUUCGUGCCAGCAGCCGCGGUAAUACGAAGGGGGCUAGCGUUGUUCGGAAUUACUGGGCGUAAAGCGCGUGUAGGCGGGUCCUUAAGUCAGGGGUGAAAUGCCAAGGCUCAACCUUGGAACUGCCUUUGAUACUGGGGAUCUUGAGUCCGGGAGAGGUGAGUGGAACUGCGAGUGUAGAGGUGAAAUUCGUAGAUAUUCGCAAGAACACCAGUGGCGAAGGCGGCUCACUGGCCCGGAACUGACGCUGAGACGCGAAAGCGUGGGGAGCAAACAGGAUUAGAUACCCUGGUAGUCCACGCUGUAAACGAUGGAUGCUAGCCGUUGGGGAGCUUGCUCUUCAGUGGCGCAGCUAACGCC